GAUGAACGCUGGCGGCGUGCCUAAUACAUGCAAGUCGAGCGAACGGACGAGAAGCUUGCUUCUCUGAUGUUAGCGGCGGACGGGUGAGUAACACGUGGAUAACCUACCUAUAAGACUGGGAUAACUUCGGGAAACCGGAGCUAAUACCGGAUAAUAUUUUGAACCGCAUGGUUCAAAAGUGAAAGACGGUCUUGCUGUCACUUAUAGAUGGAUCCGCGCUGCAUUAGCUAGUUGGUAAGGUAACGGCUUACCAAGGCAACGAUGCAUAGCCGACCUGAGAGGGUGAUCGGCCACACUGGAACUGAGACACGGUCCAGACUCCUACGGGAGGCGGCAGUAGGGAAUCUUCCGCAAUGAGCGAAAGCCUGACGGAGCAACGCCGCGUGAGUGAUGAAGGUCUUCGGAUCGUAAAACUCUGUUAUUAGGGAAGAACAUAUGUGUAAGUAACUGUGCACAUCUUGACGGUACCUAAUCAGAAAGCCACGGCUAACUACGUG
rnacentral:rRNA from 1 species